AAAAAUGUAUAGGUUUAAUCAGAUAUUAGAUUACCCUGAUGUCAUUGGACAUGCAUUCUCUGAAGCAUUUUGGAAGUCUGGUGUGUUUCCAAAUCAUCCAAAAAUCUGUAUUUUACUAUCAAAGAAGUUUCCGGAGCACCACAGCAAGUUACAAUUAGAAAGAAUUGACAAAUUUGCUUUGGAUGCUAUGAAUGAUGGUGCUGAAGUUCAUUUGCAAAGCUUGGAACCAUGGAUUCAAA
rnacentral:misc_RNA from 1 species